GCCGCCACAAUCUGUAGUGAGACAACAACAAAUGUGUGAGCGGUUGUCCAGGAACUGCAAAAAUUUUGCAAUAUGUUGGCGCAGGUUCAGCGAAAACCAGUGCUCAGCGUUUGUGUCUCAAAAUAUGCAUUUUAAUAACCGAAAAAAGCAAAACAAAAUAAUUAUUAAAAGCAACAAAUGAUAAUUAACAAAGUAAAGAAAACACAAUGUGAGCAUGUGUUAUGUGAAAUUUAGAAGUUAAGCGCGAAUUGUAUGUAUUAUUUAAAUUUCUGUUCAAUAAGUUUACAUUAAAAAACAAAAAAUCUAACAAAAAAACGUA